AUGACUUACGUUCAGUCCCUGAAGCCCAUAUAAAAAAGUGAAAGGAAUUUGAGCUUGCUAUAGCAAGAAAGUCUAACCUAUUCCGGUGUUCUCUUCCUCAUGAGACAAGCUGUUAUACAGGCUCAAACAAU